rnacentral:rRNA from 1 species
UACAGAGGUCCCAAGCGUUGUUCGGAUUCACUGGGCGUAAAGGGUGCGUAGGUGGCGAGGUAAGUCGGAUGUGAAAGCUCGGAGCUCAACUCCGAAAUGGCAUUGGAAACUACCUUGCUCGAGGGUUGGAGGGGGGACUGGAAUGCUUGGUGUAGCAGUGAAAUGCGUAGAUAUCAAGCGGAACACCAGUGGCGAAGGCGAGUCCCUGGACGACUCCUGACACUGAGGCACGAAAGCGUGGGGAGCAAACAGG